ensembl:processed_transcript Gas5 growth arrest specific 5
UGAGCAGGAAUGGCAGUGUGGACCUCUGUGAUGGGACAUCUUGUGGGAUCUCACAGCCAGUUCUGUGGCAAAGGAGGAUGAAGGCUUACGAGGUGAGUACUGAAUAGUAAUGAGAAGUUAGGUUGAAAGGACAGUGCCACAAUGAUGACAUCAUAUUUGCUACUCUUGACAGCUGGGGUGACGAUAGCUUUAAACCACCAUGAUUAUAACUGAGGCACACAAAAUAAUGAUUUGGGGGCUACUUACAGAGUAAGCAGUUUUUACAUAAAGAUUCCCCCCCCCAGGACUCGUCAGGAAGCUGGAUAACAGAGCGAGCGCAAUGUGCUAGAAUAGAAGACCAGAAAAUGAAAUGGUGGAGUUUGAGGCUGGAUAGACAGUUUGAAAGGUAAGUAUUGAAAAACUUGAAUUUGGGUCAGUACAAAGGGACAUGCAGAGACUUUGAAUCAUCAAAACUCCAGCAUGCAUUGUCUUACGGAUGUUUAGAUGUGUUUUGGACAACACUCUGGGUUCUUGUAAUGAUGUUGAUCAAAUGUCUGAGCUGAAAAUAACUUGUAGACAAUUUUUAACACUGAAGAACCCUGUGGCAGGCAACUAAGAAUAGUCGAAUGAUGUUUAGCAUAUUUGUAAGAGGUAUUUUCUUUUAAUUCUAGUUAACUGGUUGCAUGCUUGUUCAUUUGGCUGGCUUGCUUGGGUAAGAAGCCAUUGGGGGCCUUGAAUUCCCUCCAGUCAUUUGCAGUAUUUACUGCAUAACAUUUAGCUUUUGAACAUGCAUGUGCUACCAUCAGUACUAAAUGGUGCCUUAAAUUUUUUUCAGGUACAAAUGAUGGUUUGAAUAAAGAAAGGUAUUACGCAUGGGUCACCUCAAGUGAAGGCACUGCAAACACAAUGAUUGGUCAUUCUGAAUUUCCGGUCCUUCAUUCUGAAUUUCAAAGGCUCCUGUGACAAGUGGACAUGCAGUGACUGUACCUUUGUUUCUGAGGUGCCUGGAUGGAGGCUCAAAUAGAAGAUGGUGUCAGAUAUAUUGUGUUAAAAUUUUACCAUUAAAGUGUAUUAUAACAUGAA